CAUUGACUACAGGUCUGGCAGCACUGUCUGUUCUCAGUGUUGAGUAACUCUCAAUUUUGUGUGCUUUACAAUACUUCUAUUAAAAUCGACAUAUUAGGUCGUAGAAAACGCAAAUAAUGUAAUAUUUCUCGCACUUAACAACGCAGGAUAUAACAUAGCCGACGGCUCCCAUGCUUGCAGUCCACAAAUUCCGCAGGAAACCUAGGCAUCAUGCUUAAUGGAGCUGUCGAAGGCACUAAAUUCACGCAAGCUGCAGCCAUGUCGCACGUGGUUUAUGGCUGGUUUCGCCUAUCUGCAUUUUGAUUGGGCCACAAACCUGUAUAUAUUAUAAUAAUUUUGCUUAGCGCAAACCUACCUAAGUUGUACCUGAGAAAAAACGCUGCACACACAUUGGAUUCCAAAUCCGCUCUGUUCUCCGCCAGACGUUCUUCACAUAGUAGCCCUUCUCACUGCUUGCCUGCAGCUGUGCUCAUAUUGAUGAUUCCGUUGGGAAUGCAUUUUUGCAGCUAUUGCAGUCGAUUAGCUACUCAAAGCAGCAGCAUAAAACAAGCAUUAA